UAUUAGGUUGGUGCAAAAAUAAUUGUGGUUUUUGCCAUUGAAAGUAAUGGUAAAAACGGCAAUUACUUUUGCACCAACCUAAUA
rfam:Pan troglodytes isolate Yerkes chimp pedigree #C0471 (Clint) chromosome 9, whole genome shotgun sequence.